CGUGCCGUGGCCGAUGGCGCUCGCGUCGCGCCUGCUGCGCGCGAUGCCACGGCCGCUGUUCGACCGCGCGCUGCGCAACC
rnacentral:tRNA from 1 species